AGUAAAUGGAGACCAGAAGCCACUUUAAUAAACGGGGCUAGGCCGAAAAGUCUAAUAAGUAGAAAACCA
rfam:Marivirga sericea strain DSM 4125 genome assembly, contig: LX91DRAFT_scaffold00004.4